rnacentral:rRNA from 1 species
GAUCCUGGCUCAGGAUGAACGCUGGCGGCGUGCUUAAUACAUGCAAGUCGAACGAAGAGCUUUUGUAGCAAUACGAGAGCUUCUUAGUGGCGAACGGGUGCGUAACGCGUUGGUGACCUGCCCCGAAGUGUGGGAUAACAGUUCGAAAGGACUGCAAAUACCGCAUGUGGUUUUCCGGAUUAGAGGCCGGAUUUCUAAAGCAGUAAUGCGCUUCGGGAGGGACCUGCGUCCCAUCAGCUAGUUGGUGGGGUAAUGGCCCACCAAGGCUACGACGGGUAGGGGACCUGAGAGGGUGGUCCCCCACACUGGCACUGAAACACGGGCCAGACACCUACGGGUGGCAGCAGUAGGGAAUAUUGGGCAAUGGGCGAAAGCCUGACCCAGCAACGCCGCGUGCAUGAUGAAGGUCUUCGGAUCGUAAAAUGCUUUUCUGGGAGAUGAGAAGGGACAGUAUCCCAGGAAUAAGUCUCGGCUAACUACGUGCCAGCAGCCGCGGUAACACGUAGGAGGCAAGCGUUAUCCGGAUUUACUGGGUGUAAAGCGCGUGCAGGCGGUUCGGAAAGUUGGAUGUGAAAGCUCCUGGCCCAACUGGGAGAGGUCGUUCAAAACUACCGGACUGGAGGGCAGUAUAGGGAGAUGGAAUUCCCGGUGUAGUGGUGAAAUGCGUAGAUAUCGGGAGGAACACCAGUGGCGAAAGCGGUCUCCUGGACUGUCUCUGACGCUCAGACGCGAAAGCUAGGGUAGCAAACGGGAUUAGAGACCCCGGUAGUCCUAGCUGUAAACGAUGUGAACUUGGCGUCGGUGGUGUAAAAACCAUCGGUGCCGUAGCUAACGCGAUAAGUUCACCACCUGGGGACUACGGCCGCAAGGUUAAAACUCAAAGGAAUUGACGGGUCCCCGCACAAGCAGCGGAGCGUGUGGUUUAAUUCGAUUUUACACGAAGAACCUUACCCAGGUUUGACAUGUUGGUAGUAGGGAAGCGAAAGCAGACCGACCCGCAAGGGAGCCUAAACAGGUGCUGCACGGCUGUCGUCAGCUCGUGUCGUGAGAUGUUGGGUUAAGUCCCGCAACGAGCGCAACCCUCGUCCUUAGUUGCCAGCAGGUUAAGCUGGGCACUCUAGGGAGACUGCCUUCGUAAGGAGGAGGAAGGUGAGGACGACGUCAAGUCAUCAUGGCCCUUACGGCCAGGGCUACACACGUGCUACAAUGGGGCGUACAGAGUGUUGCAAUACCGCGAGGUGGAGCCAAUCACUUAAAGCGUCUCUCAGUUCGGAUUGAAGUCUGCAACUUGACUUCAUGAAGCUGGAAUCACUAGUAAUCGUAGAUCAGCAUUGCUACGGUGAAUACGUUCCCGGGUCUUGUACUCACCGCCCGUCACACCAUGGGAGUUGAUUUCACCCGAAAUUGGGAAGCUAACCUUCGGGGGGCUACCACUUACGGUGGAAUUAGCGACUGGGGUGAAGUCGUAACAAGGUA